rnacentral:lncRNA from 1 species
GGUAGGUGUCGGAUGGGACGACGCGGGAGAAGAAGUCGUAGCGGCUGUUGUCACUCAGGUCUGGCGCAGUGGAGGCAUAGCUGAUCUGGGGGAUCUUGAAGAGCCGCAGGAUGUUGGCCACCAUGAUGGAGACAGAGCUGCCCGAGGCGCCGAUGACGCCGACCACCCGCUCGGGUUUGGUGAUGAUGGGGGGCCCACCGUUGACGCAGCGCACCUCGGUGCUGUCCUUC